GGGGAUGUAGCUCAGUGGUAAAGCACGUGCUUAGUAUGCAUGAGGACCCAGGUUCAAUGCCCAGCACCCUA
rnacentral:tRNA from 1 species